UACAGAGGGUGCGAGCGUUAAUCGGAAUUACUGGGCGUAAAGCGCGCGUAGGCGGCUUUGCAAGUCGGGUGUGAAAUCCCCAGGCUUAACCUGGGAACUGCAUCCGAGACUGCAUUGCUAGAGUAUGGGAGAGGGAAGUGGAACUUCAGGUGUAGCGGUGAAAUGCGUAGAUAUCUGAAGGAACAUCAGUGGCGAAAGCGACUUCCUGGACCAAUACUGACGCUCAUGUGCGAAAGCGUGGGGAGCAAACAGG
rnacentral:rRNA from 1 species